GACGAACGCUGGCGGCGCGCCUAACACAUGCAAGUCGAACGAGCGCGAGAGAGCUUGCUUUCUUGAGCGAGUGGCGGACGGGUGCGUAACGCGUGAGGAACCUGCCUCAAAGAGGCGGACAACAGUUCGAAACGACUGCUACUACCGCAUAAGCCCACGGUGCCGCAUGGCACAGAGGGAAAAGGAGCAAUCCGCUUUGAGAUGGCCUCGCGUCCGAUUAGCUAGUUGGUGAGGUAACGGCCCACCAAGGCCACGAUCGGUAGCCGGACUGAGAGGUUGAACGGCCACAUUGGGACUGAGACACGGCCCAGACUCCUACGGGAGGCAGCAGUGGGGAAUAUUGCACAAUGGGGGAAACCCUGAUGCAGCGACGCCGCGUGGAGGAAGAAGGUCUUCGGAUUGUAAACUCCUGUUGUUGGGGAAGAUAAUGACGGUACCCAACAAGGAAGAGACGGCUAACUACGUG
rnacentral:rRNA from 1 species